GGUUCGCGGCCGCGGUAUUCUGACCGUGCAAAGGUAGCGUAAUCACUUGUCUUUUAAAUAAAGACUGGUAUGAAUGGCACCACAAAGGUUCAACUGUCUCCUGCAUCUAAUCCAUUAAACUGACCUCCCCGUGCAGAGGCGGGGAUACAACCAUAAGACGAGAAGACCCUAUGGAGCUUAAAACUAAAGGCAACUGCCAACUUCAACCUAAUCCGUAAGGAAAAACAAUAAAACAAGCAGAAAUUGACCUAAAGUUUUCGGUUGGGGCGACCACGGAGAAUAAAAAAUCCUCCUUGAAGAAUAGGGUCUACCACCCUUAACCAAGAAUCACUAUUCUAAGUAACAAAAUUUAUGACUACAAUUGAUCCAGUCUAACUGAUCAACGAACCAAGUUACCCUAGGGAUAACAGCGCAAUCCAUUUCAAAAGUUCCUAUCGACAAAUGGGUUUACGACCUCGAUGUUGGAUCAGGGCAUCCCAGUGGUGCAGCCGCUACUAAAGGUUCGUUUGUUCAACGAUUAAAGCCCUACGUGAUC
rnacentral:rRNA from 1 species